rnacentral:rRNA from 1 species
UACGUAGGGGGCUAGCGUUGUCCGGAUUUAUUGGGCGUAAAGCGCGUGUAGGCGGCCAGGUAGGUCUGCUGUGAAAACUCGAGGCUCAACCUCGAGAUGUCGGCGGAAACCAUCUGGCUAGAGUCCGGAAGAGGAGAGUGGAAUUCCCGGUGUAGCGGUGAAAUGCGCAGAUAUCAGGAGGAACACCAAUGGCGAAGGCGCUCGCUGGAACGGUACUGA